rnacentral:rRNA from 1 species
GUCCAUGACGGUACCGUAAGAAUAAGCACCGGCUAACUACGUGCCAGCAGCCGCGGUAAUACGUAGGGUGCAAGCGUUAAUCGGAAUUACUGGGCGUAAAGCGUGCGCAGGCGGUUAUAUAAGACAGAUGUGAAAUCCCCGGGCUCAACCUGGGAACUGCAUUUGUGACUGUAUAGCUAGAGUACGGCAGAGGGGGAUGGAAUUCCGCGUGUAGCAGUGAAAUGCGUAGAUAUGCGGAGGAACACCGAUGGCGAAGGCAAUCCCCUGGGCCUGUACUGACGCUCAUGCACGAAAGCGUGGGGAGCAAACAGGAUUAGAUACCCUGGUAGUCCACGCCCUAAACGAUGUCAACUGGUUGUUGGGUCUUCACUGACUCAGUAACGAAGCUAACGCGUGAAGUUGACCGCCUGGGGAGUACGGCCGCAAGGUUAAAACUCAAAUGAAUUGACGGGGGCCCGCACAAG